rnacentral:rRNA from 1 species
GAGUUUUCCCAGCACAAGUCUCGUCGGAGGUCAUGUGUACACAAAUCAGAACUUGACACAUACUUGGAAGAAGCAAGGGAGAAGGAUUGUGAUGACUUUGAUGUCUUGGGUUGGUGGAAGAGGCAUGCUGAAAAGUUUCCUAUAUUGGCAUCGAUGGCCCGUGACUUUCUCGCAAUUCCUUUGAGCACAGUGGCAUCCGAAUCAGCCUUCAGUUGUGGUAAGAGGAUACUUGGCGACACGAGAAGUUCUUUGACCCCUGAUAUGCUCGAAGCGCUUGUUUGUGCUAAAGAUUGGUUGUUCAAACCAAAGGAGGGAGAUGGACAGUAA